rnacentral:rRNA from 1 species
CCUACGGGCGGCAGCAGUGGGGAAUAUUGCACAAUGGGGGAAACCCUGAUGCAGCGACGCCGCGUGAAGGAAGAAGUCUUUCGGUAUGUAAACUUCUAUCAGUAGGGAAGAAAAUGACGGUACCUGACUAAGAAGCCCCGGCUAACUACGUGCCAGCAGCCGCGGUAAUACGUAGGGGGCAAGCGUUAUCCGGAUUUACUGGGAGUAAAGGGAGCGUAGACGGCAUUGCAAGUCUGGAGUGAAAGGCGGGGGCUCAACCCCCGGACUGCUCUUGAAACUGUACGGCUGGAGUGCAGGAGAGGUGAGUGGAAUUCGUAGUGUAGCGGUGAAAUGCGUAGAUAUUAGGAGGAACACCAGUGGCGAAGGCGGCUUACUGGACUGUAACUGACGUUGAGGCUCGAAAGCGUGGGGAGCAAACAGGAUUAGAUACCCUAGUAGUC